ACGGCAGCACGGAGCUUGCUCUGGUGGCGAGUGGCGAACGGGUGAGUAAUAUAUCGGAACGUACCCAAGAGUGGGGGAUAACGUAGCGAAAGUUACGCUAAUACCGCAUACGAUCUAAGGAUGAAAGCAGGGGACCGCAAGGCCUUGUGCUCCUGGAGCGGCCGAUAUCUGAUUAGCUAGUUGGUGAGGUAAAGGCUCACCAAGGCAUCGAUCAGUAGCUGGUCUGAGAGGACGACCAGCCACACUGGAACUGAGACACGGUCCAGACUCCUAC
rnacentral:rRNA from 1 species